AGCGAAUAGAUACCCAGGUAGUCCAGGGUGUAAACGCUGCGGUCUUGGUGUCGGGAAUCCUACGGGGGUACUCGGUGCCGGAGAGAAAGUUGUUAAGAUCGCUGCCUGGGGAGUACGGCCGCAAGGUUGAAACUUAAAGGAAUUGGCGGGGGAGCACCGCAACGGGAGGAGCGUGCGGUUUAAUUGGAUUCAACGCCGGAAGGCUCACCGGAGUCGACCAUUUGAUGUGGGCCAGUCUGAUGGGCUUGCCUGAAUUAUGGAGAGGUGGUGCAUGGCCGCCGUCAGUUCGUACCGUAAAGGCGUUCUGUUAAGUCAGAUAACGAACGAGACCCUUAUCCUCAAUUGCCACGGCGAUCUCCGGAUCGUCAGCACAUUGGGGAGACCGCUGGCGCUAAGUCAGAGGAAGGAUAGGGCAACGGUAGGUCAGUAUGCCCCGAAUGCUCCGGGCUACACGCGCGCUACAAAGGACGGGACAAUGGGUAUCGACCCCGAGAGGGAAGGCAAUCCCGAAACCCGUUCGUAGUUCGGAUCGAGGGCUGAAACUCGCCCUCGUGAAGCUGGA
rnacentral:rRNA from 1 species